GUUGAAGCCUCGCGUCCUUGGUGAUCCACGUAGUUGCCAAGUGGAUGGACGCACGAUCUCAACCAAUAUAGAUUCCUGGUUCAGUCGUUCCUGCAAAAGGCGUCCGGACAGGGUGUCCGGACACACCCUCCGAUGGUUUUGUCAGCCAUGGAAAGAGAGAUAAAUCAGUUGGCCUUUUUCUAGGUAUAGCAAGCUUACCUUCCUCUUUGUGUGAAGGUUCAUAUAUAUAUAUAUAUAUAUCGUAUCAGGAGCUUUGUUUCCCUCUUUAAUGGUAGGGAGAUAUUUUGCCUUGUCAUGAUGCCACUAGGUGGUGGCAGGGCCAUCAUCACCCUACG
rnacentral:lncRNA from 1 species